rnacentral:rRNA from 1 species
AAAUGAAGCGGUCUGGAAAGGCCCGCCAAAGACGGUAACAGCCCGGUAGUUGAAAUGGCUUUCCCUCCAGAGUGGAUCCUGAGUACGGCGGAACACGUGAAAUUCCGUCGGAAUCCGGGAGGACCAUCUCCCAAGGCUAAAUACUCCCUAGUGACCGAUAGUGAACCAGUACCGUGAGGGAAAGGUGAAAAGCACCCCGGAAGGGGAGUGAAACAGUUCCUGAAACCGUGUGCCUACAAGUAGUUAGAGCCCGUUAAUGGGUGAUAGCGUGCCUUUUGUAGAAUGAACCGGCGAGUUACGAUUUGUUGCAAGGUUAAGCGGAAAAAGCGGAGCCGUAGCGAAAGCGAGUCUGAAUAGGGCGCAUAAGUAACAGGUCGUAGACCCGAAACCAGGUGAUCUACCCAUGUCCAGGAUGAAGGUAAGGUAAUACUUACUGGAGGUCCGAACCCACGCACGUUGAAAAGUGCGGGGAUGAGGUGUGGGUAGCGGAGAAAUUCCAAUCGAACUUGGAGAUAGCUGGUUCUCUCCGAAAUAGCUUUAGGGCUAGCCUCGAGGUAAAGAGUCAUGGAGGUAGAGCACUGUUUGGACUAGGGGCCCUUCUCGGGUUACCGAAUUCAGAUAAACUCCGAAUGCCAUGUACUUAUACUCGGGAGUCAGACUGCGAGUGAUAAGAUCCGUAGUCGAAAGGGAAACAGCCCAGACCACCAGUUAAGGUCCCCAAAUAUAUGUUAAGUGGAAAAGGAUGUGGGGUUGCUUAGACAACCAGGAUGUUGGCUUAGAAGCAGCCACCAUUGAAAGAGUGCGUAAUAGCUCACUGGUCGAGUGACCCCGCGCCGAAAAUGUACCGGGGCUAAACAUAUUACCGAAACUGUGGAUGAACCUCUUUAGAGGUUCGUGGUAGGAGAGCGUUCUAAGGGCGGUGAAGUCAGACCGGAAGGACUGGUGGAGCGCUUAGAAGUGAGAAUGCCGGUAUGAGUAGCGAAAGAAGGGUGAGAAUCCCUUCCACCGAAUAUCUAAGGUUUCCUGAGGAAGGCUCGUCCGCUCAGGGUUAGUCGGGACCUAAGCCGAGGCCGAUAGGCGUAGGCGAUGGACAACAGGUAGAGAUUCCUGUACCAGUGCUAAUUGUUUAACCGAUGGGGUGACACAGAAGGAUAGGGAAUCGCACGAAUGGAAAUGUGCGUCCAAGCAGUGAGUGUGAGAAGUAGGCAAAUCCGCUUCUCGCGAAGCAUGAGCUGUGAUGGGGAAGGAAAUUAAGUACGGAAGUUCCUGAUUUCACGCUGUCAAGAAAAGCCUCUAGGAAGAGUAGUACUGCCCGUACCGCAAACCGACACAGGUAGAUGAGGAGAGAAUCCUAAGGUGAGCGAGAGAACUCUCGUUAAGGAACUCGGCAAAAUGACCCCGUAACUUCGGGAGAAGGGGUGCUCUAUUAGGGUGCAAGCCCGAGAGAGCCGCAGUGAAUAGGCCCAGGCGACUGUUUAGCAAAAACACAGGUCUCUGCAAAACCGUAAGGUGACGUAUAGGGGCUGACGCCUGCCCGGUGCUGGAAGGUUAAGAGGAGUGCUUAGCUUCGGCGAAGGUACGAAUUGAAGCCCCAGUAAACGGCGGCCGUAACUAUAACGGUCCUAAGGUAGCGAAAUUCCUUGUCGGGUAAGUUCCGACCCGCACGAAAGGCGCAACGAUCUGGGCACUGUCUCAACGAGAGACUCGGUGAAAUUAUAGUACCUGUGAAGAUGCAGGUUACCCGCGACAGGACGGAAAGACCCCGUGGAGCUUUACUGCAACCUGAUAUGGAAUGUUUGUACCGCUUGUACAGGAUAGGUAGGAGCCGAAGAGACGUGUGCGCUAGCAUACGAGGAGGCAAUGGUGGGAUACUACCCUGGCUGUAUGACCAUUCUAACCCGCCACGCUUAGCGCGUGGGGAGACAGUGUCAGGUGGGCAGUUUGACUGGGGCGGUCGCCUCCUAAAGAGUAACGGAGGCGCCCAAAGGUUCCCUC